GGAUUUUAGAGCAGUCUGGCUGCGUUGCUCUGUUUGCUGGAGUUGAGCUGAGCUGCUGGCGAGGUGAGCGUUCCCCUUCUCACUCCUUGCUCUGUGUGUUUUGGACAUGAAGCUUAAUGCUCGGGAAAGAUGAUGAUGUACUCAGAGAAUGAUUAUUCUUUGGCCAUGGGUGUGUGCAUAAGGUUUUCUCCAGCUAAAACCUCCAAGUAAGUCUGAGAAACUAAAGAAAAAUAAAACAAUUACCCUUUCUUUCUUUCUUCCCAAAGCAAGAAGGAAAAAGAGAGGG
rnacentral:sRNA from 1 species